rnacentral:rRNA from 1 species
CCUACGGGAGGCAGCAGUGGGGAAUAUUGCACAAUGGGCGCAAGCCUGAUGCAGCCAUGCCGCGUGUAUGAAGAAGGCCUUCGGGUUGUAAAGUACUUUCAGCGAGGAGGAAGGGGUUGUGGUUAAUAACCGCAGUCAUUGACGUUACUCGCAGAAGAAGCACCGGCUAACUCCGUGCCAGCAGCCGCGGUAAU